UGGUUUAUUGCCAUUGUAGUUGCUCGUGUUGCUCUAUCUGCGAGGUGUGUGCCGUAGCAUCAAGUCUACUGCUUUUGGUUUGUUUCCAUUGUACCUGUUCGAAUUGCUCUAUCCGCAAGGCGUGUGCCAUAGGAUCAAGCCUGCUGAUUUUGAGUCUCCUAGGGUCACCACAUGUUCACCGUUGGAGCAUCUUAUAUCUCCCUCUUGCGAGUUGUCGCAGUUAGAUGCCGCUUGCCAUACGCUUCGUUACUCUGUGAAGCCGUCGAUGAUGGAAGCAUACUGUGCGGCGUAGAAAUUGAGUUGCCCCUGUUGGCUUUCCAAAGGAGCCCGCGGAAACUUUUUUUCUGGUCAUGCGCUGAAGCAGGAUGCAUGGUUGCUUAUGAGCACGCCGCUUUUCAAGCAGUUGUCUGUCUUCAGAGCAUAUAUGGUUUCGUCGUGGUUGAUUACAGUUUUGAAAGGUUGGCUUAUUCUCACGAACAAACCAAAAAAAUAAAAAUACAGGAUAACGCUUAUACUGUGCUAACUAUACUUGCUGGACCCUUAUGUUUCCCAGGUGUGGCUAUAGAUGUUAGGCCCGAUGGUUUAUACCGCUAUAUUCAGGGCAGCCCCAAUGUUCCUUGAAGGACUAUGUGCCAUUUAAAUUGAUUCUUCAUUUUCCCGUUGCGUUGCUGCUUCCGUUGUCAUGUAUUCACUAUGUUGUUCAUAGGUUGCUUUUCUAGACAUUGCACUACUGAUAAAUAAAAAAACGAUUUUACUAUCUUAGUGCUUUUUGUUUGUACCAUUGGCUUGCGCUGCCACAUUGUCUUCACAUUGCGUGUUUAUUGCUGUCACACCUUUCCUACUCUUCCUCUGUAUUUAGUCACUAUGUCAACCUGUGUUUUCUCCAU